AACACUUUCAUGAAACAAGUCCAAACCAACUUUGCUGAGACUACAAGAAUUGCGUUGAUUUCCGGCGGAUAUAUACCAAAGGACUUUGGUCCGCCGGUAAUAAUCUUUUACCGAAGGAUCUUUCGGCGGAGCUUUGGGUGUGUCAUUACUGAAGGAUUAUGUGUGCCGGUAAUGGAAGUGAUAUUUUUAGCGGUCAUUACCGAAGGCUUCGGGCCGCCGAUAAAGGGGUCAGAAAUGAAAUUAAAGUUUCCCUCUUAUUGUGAAAGAGGUCAUACCCUUUAGAAGCCUUAUGAAGAUUUUGAACCCUUGUUCUCCGAAACCCAUUGUGCCCUUCCUUCACAGAGGUGCUCUUCGUGGUCUUCCUUCAGAGAGGUCCUCUUUGUUCACAGAGCCUCCGUCAUCGUGAAUGUGAGUGUGAGUGUUCCCAUCAAAGUGCUUCUUCGUUCGGUGCCAUCCAUCUCCGACUUCGUUGGCGGGCAGUGAAGCUCAAACCCGGUGUUGAGGAGGUGGAGCAUGUGGUGGCGCUAAUACUUCUCCGGUGAAGGUCAAAGACAGUGCUGUGAUUGUCCUAAAGAUGAUGACGAAGACCAUAUCAGGUCACAGUGUUGGAUUGAUGUUGUUGGUGGAAAGAAAAAAGGAAGAAUCUAUGGGGCAAGGCAAUUGGCUGCAAAUUACAGUGCAGAUCAUCGUGGUCUAAAGCACCAACCUUCUUCUUCCUCCCAACCUCCUAAUGAGAGCGUUCAUGCCCUGACGCAGCAACUUCAAACACGUGAACGAGAAUAUAGUGAACUCAGACAAGAGUUUACCAAUUUUAAAGAACACUGUAAUGAGAUUGCUUCCUUAGUCUGCAGUGCCUCCGGCCUCUCAUUCGCAGCCCACACCAGUCCAGCCUACUGAAGUUCAACCCACACAUGUCCAGCCCAUACCAGUCCAGACCCCAUCAGUCCAGUCCCCAUCUGUCCAGCCAUCUUCAGAGCCUCAAAACAAUGAACAAGAAGACAAUCAUCAGGCUGAACAUUAUGACGACUAUUAGAUUUUAUAGGAUAACUUUGCACAUUAUUAUUACUUCUUUUCCUUCUAAGAAAAAUUUUAUAUUUAGUCCUAUAUUGGUUUGUGGAAUUCUGUUUAGUUUAUUAAUUACAUGGUUUUAGACAUU